AAGAAUUUAAGUUAUAAAACUAUAGACCUUCAAAGUCUAAAAUAAAGACAAUAAAUCUUUAAUUCUUA
rnacentral:tRNA from 1 species